CUUUGGAAGGACACACCUGAAGGAGCUUUACAAGCCUUGGAAGGUCUGAACUUGCUGAAAAAGUCUGCGAUUUACUAACCUGCUGAAGAUGAGCGCUGGACCGCACGACCGCGUGUUCAUGGAUUGGCUGGCCGACUUCGUGCACAUUCCAGCUGAGACUCUUCUGGAGCUGGCCGUGGAACUGGACCUGGACCUGCGUGAUGUUCUUCAGCUCGUCUGGGUCCUGGAUCAGGAUGAACUCUCUCAAAUUGUUGUGUUCACUGAGCAUGGUGAUGACUCUCUCGAACCUCCUCCAGUUUUAAUACAGUUGUUGAACCAUAACAUGUCGGUACCGCUUCAGGGCCAUCAUCAGGUGGACACCGUUUCUGAUGACGAGGGGGAGGCAGGUGUUGAGGGGGAUGAAGAGUUCCUUCAGGUAAAUAUCAAGAUCUCGGUCAUUGAUGCCUCGGGCUCUGAGGAGCAAGAGGUAGGUGAGCAGGAGGAUGUUGAGGUGGAGUCAUCAUCAAAUGGUGAGUCACUUGAGGCUUCCAGAGAGACCCCUAGGUGUGACAAUUCCCUUGGAGGGACCUCCACAUGUCAGAGGAGUUCAGAACUAGACCCAGCUCCCUCGACAAGUGGCACCAGAAAGAGGACGAGGGAAGAAAGUGCUGAGGAGGAACCCCCGGCCAAGAGGAUCAGUCAUGAUGAGGAGGAAGAGGUAGAUAAGGAUGACUGUGAGGAGGAGGAGGAGGAGGAGGAAGAUGUUGAGGAGGAGGAGUCAUCUAAUGGUGAGUUGCUUGAGGCUUCCAGAGAGACCCCUAGGUGUGACAAUUCCCUUGGAGGGACCUCCACAUGUCAGGUGAGUUCAGAACUGGACCCAGCUCCCUCGACAAGUGGCACCAGAAAGAGGACGAGGGAGGUAGGUGCUGAGGAGGAACCCCCGGCCAAGAGGAUCAGUCAUGAUGAGGAGGGAGAGGUGGAUGUCGAGGCCCUGUCAGAGGAGCCAGAAACUUUUUCCAUUUCAUCAUCUGAUGGGAUUCUUGAGACAUCCAGCGGGCUCUCUGGGUAUGACACCAUGACCUCUGAGGAUGAAGAGCUUGAUGAAGAUGAGGAUGACCUUCCACCCCAGUUACGGUUUGUCCAGCGAAUUCCUCCCGACUUCAGACUGCCUUGGUACCACCCCCUGGAAGAAGAGCCCCCAGAGUGAUAAUACGACAACUCCCAUUGAGGGAUCUCUCCACGGGGUCAGGUGACUGUGGAAGUGGACCCAGCUGCCUCGACAUGCGGUACCCGUGUGUCCAGAAGGGGGACAAGGGAGGUUGGUAGCGAGGAGGAACUCCCCGCCAAGAGGAUUACUCAUGAGAGGAAUGUUUGAGAAGAGCAAUCUCCUCAAGAGCCUCCGGGAUCAGCUUCAGACAAGGAGGCAUAACAGAGAAAUCAGAGGAACCAAAGCCUUCAAUGUCUUCCCUUGGCUCAUCUUGGAAGAGAAGGGGAAAGAACUGGAUGUACUUUCAUGCUGACCAAGAUGGGAGACGUAAAGGCUGAAACACAGAUUAACCGCAUGGAGAGAGUCACAGUUGGAGAUGAUUUCUCUAGUUAUCGUUUUUGUGAAGCUAAUAGCUUUCUAGCAGGACUGGUGAUGCCCCAGGUAGCGUCUUGCACUGGGGCUUUUCUUUAUCCCUAUACUGCUAGAUGUUGGGUUUGUAAAUAUUUAAGAGUCUGGCAGGACUGGUGAUGCCCCAGGUAGCGUCUUGCACUGGGGCUUUUCUUUAUCCCUAUACUGCUAGAUGUUGGGUUUGUAAAUAUUUAAGAGUCUGGCAGGACUGGUGAUGCCCCAGGUAGCGUCUUGCACCGGG